rnacentral:rRNA from 1 species
AAGUCGUAACAAGGUUUCCGUAGGUGAACCUGCGGAAGGAUCAUUACCGAGUUAGGGUCUCGACCCCGAGGCCCGACCUCCCAACCCUGUGUCUAAAUAAAUUAUACGUGUUGCUUCGGCGGACCGGUAGUCUUUAAUAGGACAGCCGCCGGGGAGGACGUCCCGUCCCCCUGGAGAGUGUCCGCCGACGGCCUCAACCUUUCCAACUCUAACUACCAACAUGGAAUUUCUGAAUGAUAAAUCUUAGAUAUAAUCAAAAAUUAAAACUUUCAACAACGGAUCUCUUGGUUCUGGCAUCGAUGAAGAACGCAGCGAAAUGCGAUAAGUAAUGCGAAUUGCAGAAUUUCCGUGAGUCAUCGAAUCUUUGAACGCACAUUGCGCCCUCUGGCAUUCCGGAGGGCAUGCCUGUUCGAGCGUCAUUAUCCUCCCUCAAACCUCCGGGUUUGGUGUUGGACCGUGUUGGUGUUACAUCCAUUGAACCAACUGGUCUCAAAGACAAUGACGGCGUCCGUGGGACCCUCUUCGCACCGAGCUUCUAAGGAGCACGCGUCGAGUUGCAAGGUCCCGGGGACCCGGUCACUCCUGUUAUUUUCUAGGUUGACCUCGGAUCAGGUAGGAAUACCCGCUGAACUUAA